AUUGAACGCUGGCGGCAGGCCUAACACAUGCAAGUCGAGCGGAGCGGCGGACGGGUGAGUAAUGCCUAGGAAUCUGCCUGGUAGUGGGGGAUAACGUCCGGAAACGGGCGCUAAUACCGCAUACUAUCAGAUGAGCCUAGGUCGGAUUAGCUAGUUGGUGGGGUAAAGGCAUACCAAGGCGACGCUCCGUAACUGGUCUGAGAGGAUGAUCAGCCAAAGUAGAAAUGAGCCACGGUCAAGACUCGUACGGGAGGCAGCCGUGGGGAAUAUUGGACAAUGGGCUAAACCCCGAUCCAGCCAUGCAGCGUGUGUGAAGAAGGUCUUCGGAUUGUAAAGCACUUUAAGUUGGGAGGCGUUUCCAACAGAAACAGCACCGGCUAACUUCGUGCCAGCCGCCGAGGUAAUAC
rnacentral:rRNA from 1 species